rnacentral:rRNA from 1 species
AACGAACGCUGGCGGCAUGCCUAACACAUGCAAGUCGAACGAUGGUCUUCGGAUCAUAGUGGCGCACGGGUGCGUAACGCGUGGGAAUCUGCCCUUGGGUUCGGAAUAACAGUUGGAAACGACUGCUAAUACCGGAUGAUGUCGAUAAGACCAAAGAUUUAUCGCCCGAGGAUGAGCCCGCGUCGGAUUAGCUAGUUGGUGGGGUAAAGGCCUACCAAGGCGACGAUCCGUAGCUGGUCUGAGAGGAUGAUCAGCCACACUGGGACUGAGACACGGCCCAGACUCCUACGGGAGGCAGCAGUGGGGAAUAUUGGACAAUGGGCGCAAGCCUGAUCCAGCAAUGCCGCGUGAGUGAUGAAGGUCUUAGGGUUGUAAAGCUCUUUUACCCGGGAAGAUAAUGACUGUACCGGGAGAAUAAGCCCCGGCUAACUCCGUG